rnacentral:rRNA from 1 species
UACGAAGGGGGCUAGCGUUGCUCGGAAUCACUGGGCGUAAAGCGCACGUAGGCGGAUUGCUAAGUCAGGGGUGAAAUCCUGGAGCUCAACUCCAGAACUGCCUUUGAUACUGGGGAUCUUGAGUCCGGGGAGAGGUGAGUGGAACUGCGAGUGUAGAGGUGAAAUUCGUAGAUAUUCGCAAGAACACCAGUGGCGAAGGCGGCUCACUGGCC